CGCCACCGGUAUGGGGUCCUACGGGGUCCUGGGGGGGGGGUUAUGGGGUCGUUAUGGGGUCCUAUGGGGUCUUUAUGGGGUCCUGGGGGGUCUUUAUGGGGUCCUUAUGGGGUCACAGAUCUGCGCCUUCUGGACCCGCUUCCUGCCCAAGCUGCUCAACGCCACCGGUAUGGGGUCCUACGGGGUCCUGGGGGGGGGCUUAUGGGGUCUUUAUGGGGUCCUGGGGGGUCCUCAUGGGGUCCUAUGGGGUCCUAUGGGGUCUUUAUGGGGUCGUAUGGGGUCCUCAUGAAGUCCUAUGGGGUCCUGGGGGGUCUUUAUGGGGUCCUUAUGGGGUCUUUAUGGGGUCCUUAUGGGGUCAGGUGUUUUUUACAGGGUUCUUAUGAGGUCCUGUGGGGUCUUUAUGGGGUCCUUAUGGGGUC
rnacentral:lncRNA from 1 species